GAAAUCCCUUCAGGCGGUUGGCGGCGAAAACCCGAGGUCGACUACAAAUUUAAAAUUUCUUUGCCGCCAAUUCUUUUUAAAUCCCCCAAAAUUUCGAUUACCUUUGUUGAGUUGAUAUGUUUCCUUUCCUUAAUCGCGUCUGAUCUGUUGAUUGAGCCGCUUUUUUGCGGGCUUUCUCAUCAUCCAAACAAAGUCGCGAGCGAAUCUGCGAAUCUCAGUAUCUCGCUGUUGCUAAAAUCUUGAGGAAUUUGUAUGAAUAUCAGCAAUCGAUGCUUAUUUCUACUCGUUAUAGCUGUCACAAACGCCUCUGAUACUCAAACCUUGAGAAAUUUGAAUGGAUCUCUGUAAUCGAAGGUGGUGCCUAUUUCUAUCUCGUUAUAGCUGCGCCUCUGUAGAUUACGCUGAUGCUCAAAUCUUGAAGAAUUUCAAUGGAUAUCAGUAAUCGGAGGCUUGAUCCACAUAUUUCUCAUCUGCUCAGCUUUCACAUCGACACUCUGGAUUUCAUCGGCUCUCGUGAACAGAAUGUUCCUACUUAAAGCAAAGGACUUGAUGACCGAAAGUUGAGAAGAUAGAAGAAAAAGGAAGCAGAAGAUAAUAGAACAUAGUACUCAUCACAGAAAGAAAACUCAGAGAGAAGCAACGAAAAAGAAGUGGUGGAGAGAAUACAUCCACAAUGAACAGACAUUCUCUCAAAAUGAGGUGAGCUUCUCUUCCUGUUCUAAUACAAACUAGGGAAGUAGUAUUUUUCUAGUACCAUGUAGAUCAACUUGCCCACAUUAGUUAAAGAAAAAACUGCUGAAGAACAGGUUGAGAGAGAUAGAAGGGGGGGGGGGGGGGCUCUGUUUUCUC